rnacentral:rRNA from 1 species
UACGAACCGUGCGAACGUUAUUCGGAAUCAUUGGGCUUAAAGGGCGCGUAGGCGGCGGUGUAAGUUGGAAGUGAAAUCCCAUCGGCUCAACCGUGGAAUUGCUCCCAGUACUGCAUCGCUCGAGGGGGAUAGGGGUUUGCGGAACUACCGGUGGAGCGGUGAAAUGUGUUGAUAUCGGUGGGAACGCCAGUGGCGAAAGCGGCAAACUUGACCCUUCCUGACGCUGAGGCGCGAAAGCUAGGGGAGCAAACGGG